AACGAACGCUGGCGGCAGGCCUAACACAUGCAAGUCGAGCGAAGCCUUCGGGCUUAGCGGCGGACAGGUGAGUAACGCGUGGGAACGUGCCCUUUGCUACGGAAUAGCCCCGGGAAACUGGGAGUAAUACCGUAUGUGCCCUUCGGGGGAAAGAUUUAUCGGCAAAGGAUCGGCCCGCGUUGGAUUAGGUAGUUGGUGGGGUAAUGGCCUACCAAGCCGACGAUCCAUAGCUGGUUUGAGAGGAUGAUCAGCCACACUGGGACUGAGACACGGCCCAGACUCCUACGGGAGGCAGCAGUGGGGAAUCUUAGACAAUGGGCGGAAGCCUGAUCUAGCCAUGCCGCGUGAUCGAUGAAGGCCUUAGGGUUGUAAAGAUCUUUCAGGUGGGAAGAUAAUGACUGUACCACCAGAAGAAGCCCCGGCUAACUCCGUGCCAGCCGCCGCGGUAACAC
rnacentral:rRNA from 1 species